AACGAACGCUGGCGGCAUGCCUAACACAUGCAAGUCGAACGUUACCUUCGGGUCUAGUGGCGCACGGGUGCGUAACGCGUGGGAACCUGCCCUUAGGUUCGGAAUAACUCCCCGAAAGGGGUGCUAAUACCGGAUAAUUUCUCCGGACCAAAGAUUUAUCGCCUUUGGAUGGGCCCGCGUUGGAUUAGCUAGUUGGUAGGGUAAAAGCCUACCAAGGCGACGAUCCAUAGCUGGUCUGAGAGGAUGAUCAGCCACACUGGGACUGAGACACGGCCCAGACUCCUACGGGAGGCAGCAGUGGGGAAUAUUGGACAAUGGGCGAAAGCCUGAUCCAGCAAUGCCGCGUGAGUGAUGAAGGCCUUAGGGUUGUAAAGCUCUUUUACCCGGGAUGAUAAUGACAGUACCGGGAGAAUAAGCUCCGGCUAACUCCGUG
rnacentral:rRNA from 1 species